UACGGAGGGUGCAAGCGUUAUCCGGAUUUACUGGGUUUAAAGGGUGCGUAGGUGGGCAGGCAAGUCAGUGGUGAAAUCUCCGGGCUUAACCCGGAAACUGCCAUUGAUACUAUCUGUCUUGAAUUUCCUGGAGGUAAGCGGAAUAUGUCAUGUAGCGGUGAAAUGCUUAGAUAUGACAUAGAACACCAAUUGCGAAGGCAGCUUACUACGGGAAUAUUGACACUGAGGCACGAAAGCGUGGGGAUCAAACAGG
rnacentral:rRNA from 1 species